rnacentral:rRNA from 1 species
GGUUAAGUUAGAAAGGGCGCACGGUGGAUGCCUUGGCACUAGGAGCCGAUGAAGGACGGGACGAACACCGAUAUGCUUCGGGGAGCUGUAAGCAAGCUUUGAUCCGGAGAUUUCCGAAUGGGGAAACCCACCACUCGUAAUGGAGUGGUAUCCAUAUCUGAAUACAUAGGGUAUGAGAAGGCAGACCCGGGGAACUGAAACAUCUAAGUACCCGGAGGAAGAGAAAGCAAAUGCGAUUCCCUGAGUAGCGGCGAGCGAAACGGGACCAGCCCAAACCAAGAGGCUUGCCUCUUGGGGUUGUAGGACACUCUGUACGGAGUUACAAAGGAACGAGGUAGAUGAAGAGGUCUGGAAAGGCCCGCCAUAGAAGGUAACAGCCCUGUAGUCAAAACUUCGUUCUCUCCUGAGUGGAUCCUGAGUACGGCGGAACACGUGAAAUUCCGUCGGAAUCCGGGAGGACCAUCUCCCAAGGCUAAAUACUCCCUAGUGACCGAUAGUGAACCAGUACCGUGAGGGAAAGGUGAAAAGCACCCCGGAAGGGGAGUGAAAGAGAUCCUGAAACCGUGUGCCUACAAGUAGUCAGAGCCCGUUAACGGGUGAUGGCGUGCCUUUUGUAGAAUGAACCGGCGAGUUACGAUCCCGUGCAAGGUUAAGCAGAAGAUGCGGAGCCGCAGCGAAAGCGAGUCUGAAUAGGGCGAAUUGAGUACGUGGUCGUAGACCCGAAACCAGGUGAUCUACCCAUGUCCAGGGUGAAGUUCAGGUAACACUGAAUGGAGGCCCGAACCCACGCACGUUGAAAAGUGCGGGGAUGAGGUGUGGGUAGGGGUGAAAUGCCAAUCGAACCUGGAGAUAGCUGGUUCUCUCCGAAAUAGCUUUAGGGCUAGCCUCAAGGUAAGAGUCUCGGAGGUAGAGCACUGAUUGGACUAGGGGCCCCUACCGGGUUACCGAAUUCAGUCAAACUCCGAAUGCCGAUGACUUAUCCUUGGGAGUCAGACUGCGAGUGAUAAGAUCCGUAGUCGAAAGGGAAACAGCCCAGACCGCCAGCUAAGGUCCCAAAGUAUACGUUAAGUGGAAAAGGAUGUGGAGUUGCUUAGACAACCAGGAUGUUGGCUUAGAAGCAGCCACCAUUUAAAGAGUGCGUAAUAGCUCACUGGUCGAGUGACUCUGCGCCGAAAAUGUACCGGGGCUAAACGUAUCACCGAAGCUGCGGACUGUUCUUCGAACAGUGGUAGGAGAGCGUUCUAAGGGCUGUGAAGCAAGACCGGAAGGACUUGUGGAGCGCUUAGAAGUGAGAAUGCCGGUAUGAGUAGCGAAAGAGGGGUGAGAAUCCCCUCCACCGAAUGCCUAAGGUUUCCUGAGGAAGGCUCGUCCGCUCAGGGUUAGUCGGGACCUAAGCCGAGGCCGAAAGGCGUAGGCGAUGGACAACAGGUUGAUAUUCCUGUACCACCUCCUCACCAUUUGAGCAAUGGGGGGACGCAGGAGGAUAGGGUAAGCGCGGUAUUGGAUAUCCGCGUCCAAGCAGUUAGGCUGGGAAAUAGGCAAAUCCGUUUCCCGUGAAGGCUGAGCUGUGAUGGCGAGCGAAUUAUAGUAGCGAAGUUCCUGAUUCCACACUGCCAAGAAAAGCCUCUAGCGAGGUGAGAGGUGCCCGUACCGCAAACCGACACAGGUAGGCGAGGAGAGAAUCCUAAGGUGAUCGAGAGAACUCUCGUUAAGGAACUCGGCAAAAUGACCCCGUAACUUCGGGAGAAGGGGUGCUCUGUUAGGGUGCAAGCCCGAGAGAGCCGCAGUGAAUAGGCCCAGGCGACUGUUUAGCAAAAACACAGGUCUCUGCGAAGCCGUAAGGCGAAGUAUAGGGGCUGACGCCUGCCCGGUGCUGGAAGGUUAAGAGGAGCGCUUAGCGUAAGCGAAGGUGCGAAUUGAAGCCCCAGUAAACGGCGGCCGUAACUAUAACGGUCCUAAGGUAGCGAAAUUCCUUGUCGGGUAAGUUCCGACCCGCACGAAAGGCGCAACGAUCUGGGCACUGUCUCAACGAGAGACUCGGUGAAAUUAUAGUACCUGUGAAGAUGCAGGUUACCCGCGACAGGACGGAAAGACCCCGUGGAGCUUUACUGCAGCCUGAUAUUGAAUGUUGGUACAGCUUGUACAGGAUAGGUAGGAGCCUUGGAAACCGGAGCGCCAGCUUCGGUGGAGGCAUCGGUGGGAUACUACCCUGGCUGUAUUGACCUUCUAACCCGCCGCCCUUAUCGGGCGGGGAGACAGUGUCAGGUGGGCAGUUUGACUGGGGCGGUCGCCUCCUAAAAGGUAACGGAGGCGCCCAAAGGUUCCCUCAGAAUGGUUGGAAAUCAUUCGCAGAGUGUAAAGGCACAAGGGAGCUUGACUGCGAGACCUACAAGUCGAGCAGGGACGAAAGUCGGGCUUAGUGAUCCGGUGGUUCCGCAUGGAAGGGCCAUCGCUCAACGGAUAAAAGCUACCCCGGGGAUAACAGGCUUAUCUCCCCCAAGAGUCCACAUCGACGGGGAGGUUUGGCACCUCGAUGUCGGCUCAUCGCAUCCUGGGGCUGUAGUCGGUCCCAAGGGUUGGGCUGUUCGCCCAUUAAAGCGGUACGCGAGCUGGGUUCAGAACGUCGUGAGACAGUUCGGUCCCUAUCCGUCGCGGGCGCAGGAAAUUUGAGAGGAGCUGUCCUUAGUACGAGAGGACCGGGAUGGACGCACCGCUGGUGUACCAGUUGUUCUGCCAAGGGCAUCGCUGGGUAGCUAUGUGCGGACGGGAUAAGUGCUGAAAGCAUCUAAGCAUGAAGCCCCCCUCAAGAUGAGAUUUCCCAUUCCGCAAGGAAGUAAGAUCCCUGAAAGAUGAUCAGGUUGAUAGGUCUGAGGUGGAAGUGUGGCGACACAUGGAGCUGACAGAUACUAAUCGAUCGAGGACUUAACCAA